UACAGAGGUCUCAAGCGUUGUUCGGAUUCAUUGGGCGUAAAGGGUGUGUAGGUGGCGCGCUAAGUCGGGUGUGAAAUUUCGGAGCUUAACUCCGAACUGCAUUCGAUACUGGCGUGCUUGAGGACUGGAGAGGAGACUGGAAUUCAUGGUGUAGCAGUGAAAUGCGUAGAGAUCAAUGGAGGAAGCCAGUGGCGAAGGCGGGUCUCUGGACAGUUCCUGACACUG
rnacentral:rRNA from 1 species